GCUGGGCGUGGUGGCGCAUGCCUGUAAUCCCAGCUACUCAGGAGGCUGAGGCAGGAGAAUCACUUGAACCUGGGAGGUGGAGGUUGCAGUGAGCCGAGAUUGCGCCACUGCACUCCAGCCUGGGCGACAGAGCGAGACUCUGUCUCAA
ensembl:misc_RNA Metazoa_SRP Metazoan signal recognition particle RNA